rnacentral:rRNA from 1 species
GACGAACGCUGGCGGCGUGCUUAACACAUGCAAGUCGAACGGAAAGGCCCUGCCUUUGUUGGGUGCUCGAGUGGCGAACGGGUGAGUAACACGUGAGUAACCUGCCCUUCACUUUGGGAUAACUUCAGGAAACUGGGGCUAAUACCGGAUAGGAGCUCCUGCUGCAUGGUGGGGGUUGGAAAGUUUCGGCGGUUGGGGAGGGACUCGCGGCUUAUCAGCUUGUUGGGGGGGUAGUGGAUUACCAAGGCUUUGAGGGGUAGCCGGCCUGAGGGGGUGCGCGGCCACUUGGGGUCUGAGACAGGGCCCAGACCCCCGCGGGGGGCAGCAGUGGGAAAUUUUGCACAAUGGGCGGAAGCCAGACGCAGCAGCGCCGCGUGCGGGAAGAGGGCUUGCGGUUUGUAAACCGCUUUCGCCGGAGAAGGAGCGUGAGUGACGGUAACGGGUAAAGAAGCACCGGCUAACUACGUG